AAGUCGUAACAAGGUCUCCGUAGGUGAACCUGCGGAGGGAUCAUUACAGAGUUCUCGCCCUCACGGGUAGACCUCCCACCCUGUGCUAUCGUUACCUCCGUUGCUUCGGCGGGCCGCCGGCCCAGCCGCCACCGGCCCCGGCUGGUGAGCGCCCGCCAGAGGACCAAAACCCUGAAUGUUAGUGUCGUCUGAGUCCUAUUAAAUCGUUAAAA
rnacentral:misc_RNA from 1 species